UCAGUGGCGAACGGGUGAGUAACACGUGAGCAACCUGCCCUGGACUCUGGGAUAAGCGCUGGAAACGGUGUCUAAUACUGGAUAUGAGACGUGAUCGCAUGGUCGUGUUUGGAAAGAUUUUUCGGUCUGGGAUGGGCUCGCGGCCUAUCAGCUUGUUGGUGAGGUAAUGGCUCACCAAGGCGUCGACGGGUAGCCGGCCUGAGAGGGUGACCGGCCACACUGGGACUGAGACACGGCCCAGACUCCUACGGGAGGCAGCAGUGGGGAAUAUUGCACAAUGGGCGAAAGCCUGAUGCAGCAACGCCGCGUGAGGGAUGACGGCCUUCGGGUUGUAAACCUCUUUUAGCAGGGAAGAAGCGAAAGUGACGGUACCUGCAGAAAAAGCGCCGGCUAACUACGUGCCAGCAGCCGCGGUAAUACGUAGGGCGCAAGCGUUAUCCGGAAUUAUUGGGCGUAAAGAGCUCGUAGGCGGUUUGUCGCGUCUGCUGUGAAAUCCCGAGGCUCAACCUCGGGCCUGCAGUGGGUACGGGCAGACUAGAGUGCGGUAGGGGAGAUUGGAAUUCCUGGUGUAGCGGUGGAAUGCGCAGAUAUCAGGAGGAACACCGAUGGCGAAGGCAGAU
rnacentral:rRNA from 1 species